rnacentral:lncRNA from 1 species
UAUAGCAGGACUGCUAGUAAGUCCGUUCUGAUAGUGAAAACAGCAAUGAGAGCUCUGCCAGUUCCCCAUGUGUUAGCGGUUCAUUGCUUCUAGAUGGCAGUCAGAUUUUCUACCUCUCAGAGCACAUUCCAAGAGGUUGUAAAACCGUUCACCAAAAGUCAUCAAAAGGAACUAAUGACUUAUUUUAGGACAGAAGAUAAGAUAUUGACUGAGCUUAUCUAUACAAAACUUCACCAAUAACUUAGUUACUUGGUUUUAAAAUCUUGAUGAGCCUGUGGAAGCUGAGACAGGUGAUGAACGUUUAGCCAGGUAAUUUCUCCUAAUGGAUAUGCAUGUAAACAUUCACUGAUGUUAGCUUUUUAUUCAAUGUCUGAUUUAAAUUUCUGUGUAAACUUGUGCUCAACUCUUUAACAUGCGUUCUUCUAUUCUGAAAGAUGUAUAAGUGCUGAGGACAAAGAGAGGAGAGCGAAAUAUUUUCCCUUAUCCCCCUUUUUCAUUCAUUCUGUUUUCCCCCUUUUGCUUAGAGAGCUUUCAUAGGAAACGUUUUACAACUUAGUAAUAAAUGCUAAAAUCACUUUUCCAA